GCCGGGCGCGGUGGCGCGCGCCUGUAGUCCCAGCUACUCGGGAGGCUGAGGCAGGAGGAUCGCUUGAGCCCAGGAGUUCUGGGCUGUAGUGCGCUAUGCCGAUCGGGUGUCCGCACUAAGUUCGGCAUCAAUAUGGUGACCUCCCGGGAGCGGGGGGCCACCAGGUUGCCUAAGGAGGGGUGAACCGGCCCAGGUCGGAAACGGAGCAGGUCAAAACUCCCGUGCUGAUCAGUAGUGGGAUCGCGCCUGUGAAUAGCCACUGCACUCCAGCCUGGGCAACAUAGCGAGACCCCGUCU
rnacentral:SRP_RNA from 14 species